AGUUAAGUUGUCAUUUAGAGCAUCUGCCUUUUAAGCAGGUGGUCGAAGGUUCAAUCCCUUCC
rnacentral:tRNA from 1 species